ACAGUAUUAGGAGGAAUUGUUUUAUAUUAGUCAGGGGUCUAACACACAGUAUUAGGAGGAAUUGUUUUAUUAGUCAGUGGUCUAACAGACAGUAUUAGGAGGAAUUGUUUUAUAUUAGUCAGGGGUCUAACAGACAGUAUUAGGGGGAAUUGUUUUAUAUUAGUCAGGGGUCUAACAGACAGUAUUAGGAGGAAUUGUUUUAUAUUAGUCAGGGGUGUAACACACAGUAUUAGGAGGAAUUAGUUUAUAUUAGUCUGGUCUAGCAGACAGGAGGUUUUGUUUUAUAUUAGUCAGUGAUCUAACAGACAGGAGGAAUUGUUUUGUAUUAGUCAGUGGUCUAACAGACAGUAUUAGGAGGAAUUGUUUUAUAUUAGUCAGUCAUCUAACAGAGACAGUAAUACUUUUGCGGUGGUCUUGGUGUGUGUGUGUCGUAUUCUGUUCCAUUAGUAUUCCAUCACUGUUGUUACCCCCAUGGUUGAAUCGUGAUCUCCCAUAACGUUCCCCAUGUGUUUAAUAUCAGAUCAUAUCUGUCUCCAUUAAAACCCAUUCAAAAAGCAGGCAAACCUGUCACUGAACCACAUCAGUGAAUAUGUAUUCAUCCCCAAUAUUAAAAAGACUGCUAAGGCUUUGUCCCAAAUGGCACCCCAUUCCCUAUAUUGUGCACUACUUUUGACCAAGUGUCCUUAGGGAGUAGGGUGCCGUUUGGGACCACAGCCUAGACUGGUCCGGUUUGCUUCCAGUUGUUCGAUGAGGUUGCCUGAUAAUACAGAGUCAACAAAGUAGAAAUGAUCCCCUGACCCCGGGGAAGCGAUGAGGGGUACUGUUUGUUAUACAUUGCAAACCCCCAACCACUAAAGGACCAGGGAUCACACACAUCAACACACAUCUUGCUUCUCUCUGUCUGGAUCUGGUACGAUAAUGUCUAGUUUCUCUCUCUGUCUGGAUCUGGUACGAUAAGGUCUAGUUUCUCUCUGUCUCGAUCUGGUACGAUAAUGUCUAGUUUCUCUCUCUGUCUGGAGCUAGUACGAUAAUGUCUAGUUUCUCUCUCUGUCUGGAGCUAGUACGAUAAUGUCUAGUUUCUCUCUCUGUCUGGAGCUAGUACGAUAAUGUCUAGUUUCUCUCUCUGUCUGGAGCUAGUACGAUAAUGUCUAGUUUCUCUCUCUGUCUGGAGCUAGUACGAUAAGGUCUAGUUUCUCUCUGUCUGGAUCUGGUACGAUAAUGUCUAGUUUCUCUCUGUCUGGAUCUGGUACGAUAAUGUCUAGUUUCUCUCUGUCAGGAUCUGGUACACUAAUGUCUAGUCUCUGUCUGGAUCUAGUACGAUAAUGUCUAGUUUCAGGUUACUCGGAAUGCAUAGAGAAUGUCCCUGCACUGCUCCGCAGUACAAGAGUGUGUGUGUGUGUG
ensembl:lncRNA